GACGAACGCUGGCGGCGUGCUUAACACAUGCAAGUCGAACGGAAAGGCCCUGCUUUUGUGGGUUGCUCGAGUGGCGAACGGGUGAGUAACACGUGAGUAACCUGCCCUUGACUUUGGGAUAACUUCAGGAAACUGUGGCUAAUACCGGAUAGGAGCUCCUGCUGCAUGGUGGGGGUUGGAAAGUUUCGGCGGUUGGGGAUGGACUCGCGGCUUAUCAGCUUGUUGGUGGGGUAGUGGCUUACCAAGGCUUUGACGGGUAGCCGGCCUGUGAGGGUGACCGGCCACAUUGGGACUGAGAUACGGCCAAGACUCCUACGGGAGGCAGCAGUGGGGAAUAUUGCACAAUGGGCGGAAGCCUGAUGCAGCAACGCCGCGUGCGGGAUGACGGCCUUCGGGUUGUAAACCGCUUUCGCCUGUGACGAAGCGUGAGUGACGGUAAUGGGUAAAGAAGCACCGGCUAACUACGUG
rnacentral:rRNA from 1 species